CCUACGGGAGGCAGCAGUGAGGAAUAUUGGUCAAUGGGCGCGAGCCUGAACCAGCCAAGUCGCGUGAGGGAAGACGGUCCUAUGGAUUGUAAACCUCUUUUGUCGGGGAGCAAAAGACGCCACGUGUGGCGUUCCGAGAGUACCCGAAGAACAAGCAUCGGCUAACUCCGUACCAGCAGCCGCGGUAAUACGGGGGAUGCGAGCGUUAUCCGGAUUUAUUGGGUUAAAAGGGUGCGCAGGCGGAAGAUCAAGUCAGCGGUAAAAUUGAGAGGCUCAACCUCUUCGAGCCGUUGAAACUGGUUAUCUUGAGUGAGCGAGAAGUAUGCGGAAUGCGUGGUGUAGCGGUGAAAUGCAUAGAUAUCACGCAGAACUCCGAUUGCGAAGGCAGCAUACCGGCGCUCAACUGACGCUCAUGCACGAAAGUGUGGGGAUCGAACAGGAUUAGAUACCCCUGUAGUC
rnacentral:rRNA from 1 species